rnacentral:rRNA from 1 species
ACGGCUCAGUAACACGUGGAUAACCUGCCCAAGGGUCCGGGAUAACCCCGGGAAACUGGGGAUAAUACCGGAUGGGUCACUUAUGCUGGAAUGCUUGGUGGUCGAAAGGUGACGCCCUUGGAUGGGUCUGCGGCGGAUUAGGUUGACGCCGGUGUAACGUACCGGCGUGCCUGUAAUCCGUACGGGUUGUGGGAGCAAGAGCCCGGAGAUGGAUUCUGAGACACGAAUCCAGGCCCUACGGGGCGCAGCAGGCGCGAAAACUCUACAAUGCAGGCAACUGCGAUAGGGGGACAUCGAGUGGCAUCCACCUUGGGUGCCUGUCCCACCGUCUAAAAAACGGUGGUUAGCAAGGGCCGGGCAAGACCGGUGCCAGCCGCCGCGGUAAUACCGGCGGCUCGAGUGGUGGCCGAUAUUAUUGAGUCUAAAGGGUCCGUAGCCGGCUUUGCAAGUCCCCUGGGAAAUCCAGCGGCUUAACCGUUGGGCUUUCAUGGGAUACUACAUUGCUUGGGACUGGGAGAGGUAGGAGGUACUCGGGGGGUAGGGGUGAAAUCCUGUAAUCCCCCGGGGACCACCGGUGGCGAAGGCGUCCUACCAGAACAGGUCCGACGGUGAGGGACGAAAGCUAGGGGCACGAACCGGAUUAGAUACCCGGGUAGUCCUAGCCGUAAACGAUGCCCGCUAGGUGUCACGGCGGUCGUGAAUCGCCGUGGUGCCGUAGGGAAGCCGCGAAGCGGGCCACUUGGGAAGUACGGCCGCAAGGCUGAAACUUAAAGGAAUUGGCGGGGGAGCAC